GAUGAACGCUGGCGGCGUGCCUAAUACAUGCAAGUCGAGCGAACAGACGAUGAUCUUGCUCCUCGGACGUUAGCGGCGGACGGGUGAGUAACACGUGUAUAACCUACCUAUAAGACUGGUAUAACUUCGGGAAACCGGAUCUAAUACCGUAUAAUAUAUUGAACCGCAUGGUGCAAUAGUAAAAGACGGCUUUUCUGGCACGUAUAGAUGGAUCCGGGCCGCAUGAGCUAGUUGGUAAGGUAACGGCUUAGCAAGGCAACGAUGCGUAGCCGAAGUGAGUGGCUGGUCGGCCACACUGGAACUGAAACACGCACAAGACUACUGCGGGAGGCAGCAGACGGGAACCUUACGCAGUGGGCGAAAGUUUGGCGGAGCAAGGCCGCGUGAGUGGUGAAGGUCUUCGGAUCGUAAAACUCUGUUAUUAGGGAAGAACAAAUGUGUAAGUAAAUAUGCACGUCUUGACGGUAACUAAUCAGAAAGCCACGGCUAACUACGUG
rnacentral:rRNA from 1 species